rnacentral:misc_RNA from 1 species
UACGGAGGUGGCAAGCGUUGCUCGGAUUUACUGGGUGUAAAGAGUUCGUAGGCGGUUUCGCAAGCCCGGCUUGAAAGGCUAUGGCUCAACCAUAGUUCGCGGUCGGGAACUGCGAGACUUGAGGAUGGCAGAGGCAAGUGGAAUUCCCGGUGUAAGGGUGAAAUCUGUAGAUAUCGGGAGGAACACCAGUGGCGAAGGCGACUUGCUGGGCCAUUUCUGACGCUGAGGAACGAAAGCUAGGGGAGCAAACAGG